AAUGGUCACGUUUGCCUACAAGGAUCAAAAUCUCAGCUUUGAUUGUGAUUUGCGCAUAAAAGAUGAAUUUGUUUUUCGACAAUUUCAGUGGUUUCAAUUGCAGUUUUUGCAACUUCAGAUAAAAAUUCUAAAGAAACCUAGAAGACAUCAAUUAUAAGUACAAAAAUAAAAAAAUAAAGAAAAGCAAAAUAAUUUAAGAAAAGAAUUAGGUAUUUUGCUUGUUCAACUAUCAUUCUUCAAUCCUAUGAGAAAACUAGCUUAUGGCUCCUUACUUGUGUGUCUGUUUAGCCAAUAAUGUUAAGCAAAAUGACAUGGUGACAUCAUCCUAUUUAUAUACAUUUAGAUGACUAUGAAAUAACAUUUUUAAGCACCUUCCUUUAUUUGAGCUUCCUCUCUUCCAUAUCCUCUAGCAGUUUCUACAAUCAUCUCACCUUCUAUGACCUCUUUAUUCUUUGGUUGAAUUCUGUGCUUCACCUUGAGCUCAUGCUUUCCCCUUAUCCUGAUACCCUUAUUUAGACCAUUCAUCUCUUGCCCGAUCUUCCAUUGCUCAAACUCUAGGCCGAGUAUUAGUGUGUUAAUGCAUCCACAAUGGUGCCACACGUUGUUCCAAAUCAGCGGUUCUCAGAAAGAUGGACCUACCUACUUGGCUCUU
rnacentral:lncRNA from 1 species